GCUUGUUGCUGACGUUGUGGCUGCAAAGCCGAAAAAAAGCAAAAAUAACUUCAACUCUACUAAUUUUUCUUAUCUUGGUUUCCUGAUUUGAAGAAGCAUGUGGUCUCAACUAAAUCAAAAAUGCUCUGCGCCUGGUGUGAUUACCUCUAACUUGCCAAGUUCUAUGCUGAAUUUAAAGUCAUAAUGUUCCUACCUAACUUGGAUGUCUCUUUAUUGAGUAGUUUUGACUCAAAUUCAGUGUUCAACUUGCUAAUCAACCCCUCUGCUGCUGAUCUACUUGUGAUACACAUUUUUAUUUAUUGAGGAAAUCUCUGUCCUUUCCAUUUUUUUGUCUUAACAGUAGAUAUUUGUGAGCGAGACUGAAAUGAAAUGUGCCGAGUAAAAAUGAUAAUGCGUUGACAACUUGUAUGUAAAUGUUUAAAACGUUUCCUGUCUUACAAAAUAUAACACUGGAAGACCGAGAUUACUUUAUAAAUUGAUAACUGAAUUGUAUUUUUGUGUUAAUGAUACUAUUGAGAACACUCACUUAAGUUUAAUAGUUACUUAAGUUUCUUUAUUUUUAUUUAAGUUGUAUUGUUUUUAAGCAUUUGUUGGCACGUUUACCUCUGUGCUUUACACAUAUCAGCUGUUUUCCAACUUGAAGCAACAUUUACUUAACAUUCACUCUGCACUCUGACACGCAUGUUCAGUGUGUGAGUGCAUCGGGUCAAUACACUCGCACACUGACCGUAAUGAAUAUUGCUGCAUUCAUGUCAUAUGGCACUAUGCAAUCUCAGAUUUCCAGUGUGAUUUAUUAAGUGGCAUGCAACAGACAAAAUACAAUAGUUUUGUGACAUGGCAUUUUGUGAUUGAGGAGGAUAAAGCUAUUAUUCCUUUUUUGUUUGGAGGUUUACCUUUUAUUGAUCGACCGAUGUUUUUAGAUUUAUUGUAGAGACAGACAAGAAUCAUGAAGAAAGAGAAGGAAAAUAACAUUCAACAAGAGUUCCUGAGCAGAACUGAACCAGGGACGCUGUAAUUACACGGUAUAUGUGUUGACCACUAGGCUACAAGGACUCACCAGAAGAACUUAAAGGAACCCUUUUGGCUACAACGUAGCAUUUACUCUGCUACCACCCAGGCUAGAUGUGACAUUUUUUUAAGGAUAAGAAUCUAAGUAGUUUAUUCAUUUUUCAUCCAUCCGACCAUUUUAUUUUCUGGUGCAUUACAGCUUCAGUUUGAUUUAAGCUGCUGAUAGAUGUUUUUUAUAUAAGGUGCAUUGUGCUAGUGUUAAAUUCGUCUUGGUAUUAUUUUUAUACCAAUAAUUGUAAAUAUUUUUUUCUCUUGUUACAGUGAAAAGCCUUCAAAACAAACGCUGUAGCUUGACAACGUAGGAGGAGGGUCAAGGGUCUGAGGAUUUUUUUAUGUAAUUUUGGGCUGUAAAGAUAAAGUUGACUUGAAUUUGACUUCAUGCUGAAACUGAAACUAGGCUAUGAACUCUCUGGGAUGUGUUAGGCUUUUAAAUAA